rnacentral:snoRNA from 1 species
ACCUUCUCAUGAGCUCCUGUUAAUCUAAUCUGUGAUUACGCAUGGAUUCGCACGAGAAGCAGAGCCAGAGCUCAGUUAGAGUUGGCUUUGUCCUGUUUUCAAAUGGGCAUUGUCGACGUCUACUGUGCUACAAGU